ensembl:lncRNA
AAACUCUCAAAAACUAGAAAACACCAGUUUAGUUUCUUUAUCCCUGAUUUGUCUUCCUUCCCAUGUAUUUUUUUUGUCUAGUUCAGCCAAAUCUGUGUUUGUUUACCUUUCUUUGUAUUGUAUAUCUUAAUCUAUGUCUCAGUGUUGGUCAUUUGCUGUUUUAUAGCCUGUGUCCUGUUUCCUGUGUGCUAAAUGUUCAGUUUUGCUCCCCUUGUCUCAUUCAUCUGUGAUUAUGUCAGCUGAGUGUCCCUCUGUUCCUUGUUUCAGUCUCUCUCACUCACCGUGUGUCCUGUCUUCCAUUCUAGUUCGUAAAUUCCUGGUUUCUGUCCAGUCAUUCUCACCACAGACAUGCCGUUAACCAAGGUGAAGAUCUAAAAAGGAUUUGCAGCUUUCCAUUAACAGUCAUAGAAGUGUAUGAAAAUUUCUAAAUCUAAUCACCUUUGGUUGGUGAAUUUUGAUUGGUAGUCCAAAACCUUUUGAGAUUUAACACAAAGUGUUUGUGCUUCUGGUGUGAUGAUUCUGCCAUUACUGAAAUAACUGCAAAUUUAAAAUGACAGAUUCUCGUCAGAUUGUUUGUGAUGUAAUAUUUUGUUUUCUUUACAGUUUCAAGUGCAAACAUAAUUAUCGCAGCUGCUGGUGGCCUCUGUGGUUUCAUUUUCAUCAUUGUCAUCAUUUGCAUUGUCGCAAAACGUAAACGAAGGAACCAGGAAAAUCAACUGUAUGAGGCUGCUCAAGAGCAUCCUCCAGGCCAAACUCGAAAUGAGAAUGUUCCAGGAGAUGCCUCGAGUCUUUCCCCAACAUCUACUUAUGCCCUCGUGGAGUUUCACCCUAAAACAGAAUCCACAAAGUCCAAAAAAAUUCCACAGCCAGAGACGGUGUAUGCUCAGGUUACCAGACCCACCAGGCCCAGAGUCACUGCCCAACAAACAGAGCUGGAGAACAUCAGCAGUAUAAAUUCACAAGGCUAAACACAUAUGAACUAUGAACACUUGAACUCUGCUUUUCUUUUUUCUAAAAUGUUGGCACAGAGGACAUGUUGGAUCACAUUUAUCACCUGUUUAAAACACAAAUGAACUGAAUAUUUUCUUAAUGUUUUCAAACAUUAUCCUUUUUUGUAGUAAUAUUUUUGUGUUUUAGAUGGUGAUGGCUUACUGUGAAGUACAAUAUUUUGUUUUUAGAGCUAUAUACUUGAAUCUCUUUUUCUUUUUCUUGUUUUUUGAAGUUUUCCUGAAUAAUGUAGUGCAUAUAAUCUUUAUCAAUAAUUAUUGUAAUUUUUUAUAUGUGUUGCAGGCUAUAAAUAAUACUUAAAGUUAAUACAUUUCAAGUUUUCUUUUUAUAGAUCUAGACCAGGGGUGUGAAAUAUAAGACUCCAAUCCAGCCCACUGGGAGCUUUUAAAAAUGUGAAGGAGGGCAUAAAUUUUGGACUGUCGAAUAUAUUUCAGUUGUUUUGCCAUGGCGUUAUAUAAACUAAAAUGAAUUGGUUUGGCACACUUAUCAAAGUGGGCUGGAUGUGGCCAACACUGUAAGAUCUGUUCAAAAUCCCUGAUCUAAACUUUAUGGAGAAAUGUAUUAAAUCAAUUCCUCAUUAGGAAGACUUUGUUAGUUAACAGCCACCUUAGGUUUGUUGUGGAACAGCUGCAACAGAAAAACUUUCUUUGUAAUUUAUAUUUAUUACAGAAAGAAAGGCAUGGGAAGUCAGCAAAACAAGAAUAAAGUCUGGAGGUAUACAGAAAAAUCUUAAACAUUUUUCUACUGGAAUUUUCAAAAUUAAAUUCUAAAUAAGUGUAUAUAAUAAGAAUCUGUCUGGUUGUUCUGACCAAAUGUCACAUGUCUAAUGGAGUUUCCCCAUAUUUACCCUCAUGAGUACAUGCUACUGCCAAUCAGUACACUUGGUUUCUUGAUAAAGAUGACAUGUCCAAAAGAUCAGAUCUCUUCCUUUUUUACGACUCAGACUGAAUGCCUUUGUCCUCAAAGGUCAUAGUGAAUUACACACAUACACCCAAAGCUAAAAGUACAUAAGACAGAAAAAAGAUUUUCAUUGCCUUCAUGUUUUUUUUUUUUUAAUUUAGCUGUUGUACCAGGGAACUAAAUUGUUUUCGUAAAAGUCAAAUGUAAAGUAGACAUUAACAAAAAACAUGUUUUGCUUUUGAAGAGGUUUUACAAGAACAAAUUAUGAGAAAUGUUUCAAUUAAUUUAUCCGGAAGAACAUUUUGAAAAUAAAUAUUUUGAAACUGAUUAGUGGUGAAAAAUACCAUGUUCAUCAUUUAAAGAUAAUGUUUUUAUUGUCAAAUAUAUUGGAAUUACAUGUUUGGCCUUUUAACAGCCAAACUGAGAUGAAUUACAAUACUGAUGUCAGUUGUUUCAUGAAGUCUGAGUUUCUCUUUAUUUCUCUUGUACAAGAAUAUACUUGUACCAAAAAAAGUCAAGAAAAACUCAUCUUAUUUAAAGGAUUUCUGUCAUUGUCUGUUGUGAAGUUAGAACUUCAUAUUUUCAUAAACAUUUCAAGUCUU